rnacentral:rRNA from 1 species
UACGUAGGGUGCAAGCGUUAAUCGGAAUUACUGGGCGUAAAGCGUGCGCAGGCGGUUUGUAAGACAGGUGUGAAAUCCCCGGGCUCAACCUGGGAACUGCAUCUGUGACUGCAUAGCUAGAGUACGGUAGAGGGGGAUGGAAUUCCGCGUGUAGCAGUGAAAUGCGUAGAUAUGCGGAGGAACACCGAUGGCGAAGGCAAUCCCCUGGGCCUGUACUGACGCUCAUGCACGAAAGCGUGGGGAGCAAACAGG